rnacentral:tRNA from 1 species
GGCGGUUUGGCCGAGUGGUCUAAGGCGAUUGACUAGAACCAUCUUGAAUUCAUUCCUGAAAUCAAGGUUCCCCUAUCAAUUCUGUUCGCAGGCGCAUGUUCGAAUCAUGCAGCCGUCG